GAUGAAGAACGUAGCGAAUUGCGAUAAGUAAUGUGAAUUGCAGAAUUCAGUGAAUCAUCGAAUCUUUGAACGCACCUUGCGCUCUUUGGUAUUCCGAAGAGCAUGCCUGUUUGAGUGUCAUGAAAAUAUCAACCUUGACUUGGGUUUUGUGCUCUAGUCUCGGCUUGGAAUUGGGUGCUUGCCGCUUUUACGAGCGGCUCACCUUAAAUGUAUUAGCUGGAUCUGUCUUUGAGACUUGGUUUGACUUGGCGUAAUAAGUAUUUCGCUAAGGACAUUCUUCGGAGUGGCCUCGUUUCUAGGACGCUUGUCCGCUUUCCAAUACAAGUUCCACCUCGUGGACAUGACUUUUUAUUAUCUGGCCUCAAAUCAGGUAGGACUACCCGCUGAACUUAAGCAUAUCAAUAAGCGGAGGA
rnacentral:misc_RNA from 1 species